AACGUAGGACGCAAGCGUUAUCCGGAAUUACUGGGCGUAAAGGGCGUGUAGGCGGAUCAGCAAGUCAUGCGUGAAAGCUCCUGGCUAAACUGGGAGAGGUCGGAUGAGACUGUUGAUCUAGAGUAUGUCAGAGGCGUGUGGAAUUCCGCGUGUAGUGGUGAAAUGCGUAGAGAUGCGGAGGAACACCAGUGGCGAAGGCGGCACGCUGGGGCAUAACUGACGCUGAGGCGCGAAAGCAUGGGGAGCGAACGGG
rnacentral:rRNA from 1 species